rnacentral:misc_RNA from 1 species
UACAGCGCUGAAAGAUCAUCUAAGCAUCUUUCUUUUCUUAGCAAACUUUGCAGUCUUUAAACAAAAGAAAUAAAUAGAUUUUACACUAGGAAUGCAACAUUUUAAUGUAUCGGGACUUUAUGCGCAUUUAUUCAUCAGAUAAAAUCCUUCAGAAAGUCAACUUUCAUCGUUUCACAUGGUAGCGUGUGGAGCCUUCCUCAGCACUAGUGCCUCUCUUCCAAGACAAGACUGCAUGCCUUUGGAUGAAUUCCAUCCAUUCAUUGAGGCUCUUUUGCCUCAUGUCAAAUCAUUUUCAUACACAUGGUUCAAUCUACAGGCUGCAAAACGGAAAUAUUUCAAAAAACACGAGAAACGUAUGAGUUUAGAAGAGGAAAGAAGGUGUAAAGAAGAACUUCACGUAUGUUAAAAUCAAUCUG